rnacentral:rRNA from 1 species
AACGAACGCUGGCGGCAGGCUUAACACAUGCAAGUCGAACGGUUGUAGCAAUACAGCAGUGGCAGACGGGUGAGUAACACGUGGGAACCUUCCUAGGGGUACGGAACAACUCAGGGAAACUUGAGCUAAUACCGUAUACGUCCGUGAGGAGAGAGAUUUAUCGCCCUUAGACGGGCCCGCGUCGGAUUAGCUAGUUGGUGGGGUAACGGCCUACCAAGGCGACGAUCCGUAGCUGAUCUUAGAGGAUGAUCAGCCACACUGGGACUGAGACACGGCCCAGACUCCUACGGGAGGCAGCAGUGGGGAAUCUUGGACAAUGGGCGCAAGCCUGAUCCAGCCAUGCCGCGUGAGUGAAGAAGGUCUUCGGAUUGUAAAGCUCUUUUGCCAGGGACGAUAAUGACGGUACCUGGAGAAUAAGCCCCGGCAAACUUCGUGCCAGCAGCCGCCGCGGUAA